AGAUUGGGAGAGGAGUGGGAACAGGAGAAGCUGUCUUUGGCUCGGCUGGAAGGUGAAGGGAUUCCAGAUGCCGGUUCCUGGCUUGCUCCCCGCUCUCCAUUUGGCUUCAUCCUGGGGCUCUCUUCCUCCCCACAGAGGGGUGGUGGGCACUCUGUGCCACACCUCUCCUCUCUGGGAUCUCAGGUCUGUCCCUGAAACCUGCUGGUAGAAGAACCUCUAGAGUCCUUGCCUCCUUCCCACCGUGUGACCAUUGCCCAUUGGCACAUCUGUCAAGACACAGAUUUUUGGAAGAAAAAAGAAAGAGUGAAUGCUGCAGAGAUGGAUUGUUAAUUUUCCAAAUGAGAUAUGACUCUGAGAUCCCACCUACCCAGCUGGUAGGACGUUCCACCAUGCUCCCUAAGGUGGUUUGAGUGUUUGGAAUGACAAAGACUCUCUCAUCACCCUGAAACCUUAGUCCGGCGGCGCCUCUGAGUCUUCUGCUUGACGAGGCCUGACCUUGGGCUUCCCCAUGUCCUUUCAGAAUCCAGUUUGAGCAAGAAUCCUGCUAAGUCAGGCAUCUGUAGGCUUUGUUAAUCUAGGAGUCUGACCACCCACGUCCUCAGCUGGUCCUGUCCCUCCACAGCCCUCUUCUCCCAGCCCUUCAAUCAUCUCUCCGGACUAUAAGCUUAUUAAGAGCACGGGAGUAGUCAGCACAUCAAGUGUUUGGCACCGGGGUGAGGUGACUGACUACAGCUCUGGGAAGCUCCGCAGAACAAACACCAGAAUGAACGGUGUCUUCAUUCUCCAGUGAGAGGACUUUGCAUCCUGACUUUGUGUACUCUUUCAGGAGCAGACCACCAGAGACAGUCACACAAGGGGAGGGGAGAUGGCAUUGUGGGAGUGGCCCACUCCGUGAGCACAUGAAAUUUUAGAUCUCCACUUCCGUUUGGUAGCAUGUAAAACAGCAGACUCUUGGAAAGUCAUCUUUGGAGGGAACCCAAGAGGUCAUCAUAUCCAGAACUUCAUUUUACAAACAUGUAAACUGAGGCCAGAAAGAGAAAAUGACAGGAGCAAAUAGGUGAUGCUAAUAGGUGAUGGUGUUGGAUUCAAACCCAGGUGUUUUAUCCUGAUGCAAUAAGAAAUACGGAUUUGGUCUCUGUCCCUGGUUCCUGGCAUACAGCUCCUAAAACCCUUGUAAUCUCUGACAAAAGAAUGUCUUUUGGAUGCUAAGAGGAAACUGGUGGCUGGGAGCCCCUAGAUGGCUUCAGAAUGGGGGCUGGUCACCAGAAAGACCAUGGUAUGAUUAGAACCUCUUGAGAGGAGAGAGGGGCUGAAGGUUGCGUUGAUACCUUAUGGCCGAUGAUGUAAUCAAUCAGGCCUAUGUCAUAAAGCUUCCAUAAAAACCAAAGAAAACUUGGUUCAGGAGGCUCCAGACAGCUGAACCUGUGGAGGCGCCUGGAGGGUGGAUCUUCCGGAAAGCACAUGGCAGCUCCGCGCCCCUUCCCACAUGACUUGCCCUGUGCAUCUCUUCCAUCUGGCUGCUCAUCUGUAUCCUUUAUCAUAUCCUUUAAAAGAAACCGGUAAAUGUAAAGUUUCUACCAUUUCAAUUCUUUGUGGAACUCAAUCUGUUUUCUUAACUGAUGCAAAAAAGACCACUUAAAGAUCUGCCUGAAAGAACUUCUAGAUAGCGAGUGGAGUGCCAAGGCUCGGUCUUAGACCACCUCUGUUUCUACCAGUACUCACUCCCUAGAUGGAGUCUCGCUCUGUCGCCCAGGCUGGAGU